CCUACGGGAGGCAGCAGUGAGGAAUAUUGGUCAAUGGGCGAGAGCCUGAACCAGCCAUCCCGCGUGCAGGAAGAAUGCCCUAUGGGUUGUAAACUGCUUUUUCGCAUGAAGAACACCCCUGACGUGUCAGGGGCUGACGGUAAUGCGUGAAUAAGCACCGGCUAACUCCGUGCCAGCAGCCGCGGUAAUACGGAGGGUGCAAGCGUUAUCCGGAUUUAUCGGGUUUAAAGGGUGCGUAGGCGGCUAUUUAAGUCAGUGGUGAAAUCCUGCAGCUCAACUGUAGAACAGCCAUUGAAACUGAAUAGCUUGAGUAAUCUUGAGGUAGGCGGAAUGUGUAGUGUAGCGGUGAAAUGCUUAGAUAUUACACAGAACACCGAUUGCGAAGGCAGCUUACUAAGGAUUCACUGACGCUGAUGCACGAGAGCGUGGGGAUCAAACGGGAUUAGAUACCCUGGUAGUCCACGCCGUAAACGAUGAUAACUCGCUGUUGGCGAUACACAGUCAGCGGCUUAGCGAAAGCGUUAAGUUAUCCACCUGGGGAGUACGCUCGCAAGAGUGAAACUCAAAGGAAUUGACGG
rnacentral:rRNA from 1 species